AACGAGCGCAACCCUCGGUGCUAGUUACAAGUGUCUAGCGCGACUGCCCGCGACAAGCGGGAGGAAGGUGGGGAUGACGUCAAGUCAGCAUGGCCUUUAUAUCCAGGGCUACACACACGCUACAAUGGGCAGUACAGUGGGUAGCGAAGCCGCGAGGUGGAGCCAAUCCUACAAAGCUGUUCGUAGUUCGGAUUGCAGGCUGCAACUCGCCUGCAUGAAGUCGGAGUUGCUAGUAACCGCAGGUCAGCAAUACUGCGGUGAAUACGUUCCCGGGUCUUGUACACACCGCCCGUCACGUCAUGGGAGCUGGUCACGCCUGAAGUCGGGAGGCUAACCGCAAGGAGGCUACCGCCGAAGGCAGGGCUGGUGACUGGGACGAAGUCGUAACAAGGUAGCUGUACCGGAAGGUGCGGCUGGAUCACCUCCUUUCUAAGG
rnacentral:rRNA from 1 species